GGGAUAACGUCCCGAAAGGGACGCUAAUACCGCAUGACAUCCUGCCUUUGAAGAGGUGGUGAUUAAACUCGAAGGAUCGCAAGACCUGGCGCUUGGAGAGGGGCCCGCGUCCGAUUAGCUAGUUGGUGGGGUAACGGCCUACCAAGGCCACGAUCGGUAGCCGGCCUGAGAGGGCGGACGGCCACACUGGGACUGAGACACGGCCCAGACUCCUACGGGAGGCAGCAGUGGGGAAUUGUUCGCAAUGGGCGCAAGCCUGAC
rnacentral:rRNA from 1 species